rnacentral:misc_RNA from 1 species
AACGCAUAUUGCGCUUUCGGGUAUCCCCGGAAGCAUGCCUGUUUGAGAAUCGUUUCUACUUUUCAAAGCUCUUUUUAAGAGCAUUUGGAUUUGGACCUUUGCGGGAAUGCUUGCAAGGUCUUAAAGAAACUUGGAUAUUCUCGACUAGAUUAUCCGUCUUGACUUGACGUUUCUGAGGGGAUGUGUUUGUUGCAUCUUUGUAGAGCGUAAGUGUUAUCAAGUCCUGGUUAAAACCUUGACCGAUCGCUUUGUUUUACUUGACUAGACUUGACAUCUAUUCCAAACCUUGACAACAGAAAAGCUCUUGACAAUGAUCAAUCUCGAUUGAGGACCCUUGUACCAGAACAGUAAAGGCAACUUUGACUGACUCUUUUACUCUAGGUCUCAAAUCAGGCAAGAUUACCCGCUGAACUUAA